rnacentral:rRNA from 1 species
UACGUAGGUGACCAGCGUUGUCCGGAUUUACUGGGCGUAAAGAGCGCGCAGGCGGUCGUUCAAGUCGAGUGUGAAAGCCCCCCGGCUCAACUGGGGAGGGUCAUUCGAUACUGAUCGACUCGAAGGCAGGAGAGGGAAGCGGAAUUCCCGGUGUAGUGGUGAAAUGCGUAGAUAUCGGGAGGAACACCGGUGGCGAAGGCGGCAUCCUGGACCAAUAUUGACGCUGAGGAGCGAAAGCCAGGGGAGCAAACGGG